AUCGCGGGGGGCGGGGCGUCGCGGGCACAGCGUGAGGGCCGCCGUUGCUGGAGUUCAGCUUAGGGAAGGAGGACUCUGAGGAGGCCCCGAGCGGCGGAGCGCUUCGGGGGAGGCGCCCGCGCAGACGCGAGGCCCAUAGCCAGGACCACCACCUAGCUGAUUCUUGAUGACAUUGGUCGGGAAAACUCGCCUUUCACGGCCCGGCCAAGGGGCAUUUGGGUGCUUUUGCUGCCCGUGGCUGUGCUCAGCGUUGUGGGAAGCCCCUGGGAGGCCGAAUGUGCAGGAUCACCGAGGGGAAAGUGAGCUUGACAGUUCUACAGUCUGGGGACGACGGUUUAAAAAUUUAUGCCUUGCAUGCGAUGUGCAGUGGGUGAUGGAAGAACGUCUACAUGGCUUUAAAAUUGGAUUUAAAAGGCAAAUAUUUUAAAUGAAGGAAAACCCAAGAAGUUUACUUGAUUCCUUAUCUUCCAGGAUGCGACUUUUGUUUAUUUAUUUAUUUUAUUUUGAUGGAGUCUCGCUGCCGUCGCGCAGGCUGGAGUGCAGUGACGCGAUCUUGACCCGGGAACCUCCACCUCCCGGGUUCAAGCGAUUCUCCUUCCUCAACCACCCGAGUAGCUGGGAUUACAGGCGUGUGCCACCAUGCCCGGCUAAUUUUUGUGUUUUUAGUAGAGACCGGGGAAGGUAUGGGCCCUCUUUUGAGAAAAAUGCAGAGUGACACUGAAUUUUGUAACUACAUCAGGAGGCUCUUGAACCUUCUGCAGCUCACUCGUGGAGUUUGUAGAGAUGCGUAAUAAUCCGAAGUGUUAAGGAAGAAGGUUCUGUUGAGAAAAAGUUGGAGGGCUGAAAGGGAUGCCUUUCGCUAUUUCGACAUGUGUGGCUGUACCCCAGAGUGCCCUGGCUAACACGCAAAACCAUGAAUUAGGCGGCUUGGCGAGGCUCAGUGGAGGCUGGGGCCGAGAGUCAUGUCAAAGUUUGUGGGGUUAACCUGCACCCAGUGACAGUCAUGGCGAAGUUUGUGAGGUUAACUCGCACCCAGUAACGCUGUUCCAAUGCAAGGUGUGUAUUUGGUGUCAUCCACGGGAAGAGGAAACAGCAAAUUUUCUCAUGGCCUUGGCAGUUCCACAUGAUGGACAUUUCAUAUCUGCAGUUUUCUUCGCAUGAGAUGGCUUUUUUGCACAAAAACACUGGAAUCCAGUGAGCAAGAAUGAUAGAAUGCAAGAUGGAUUUCCACAUGAGGAAGUGUCACGAACAAGCGUUUUGCAUCUCUGUCAGCUGGAUUCCCCCAUGUGUACGUAUGUGAGAACAUGCCGUGUUUCCUGUCUGUAAUGGUAGAGGCAGCCCUGAUACUGGAUUUUCACCUGAGGAUGGAUAGAUCUUCAGGGUUCAAGUGGGUUUGCAUCUGGACUUUAGGGUGGCCCUGUAGGCCCUGUGUGAGAAGCCCCCUUCCCAGUGAACUUUCCCUUGUGUGCCCGCGUGGACAGCCAACAGGGGGAGCAGUGCGAGCGUGAAGGCAGACAGUGGCCUGGCCCAGUCUGAUGGUGCAGAAGCUGAGCUGCAGAGGCGUUAGGUACCUGCCUCAUAAGUGGUAGAGACUCCAGUGUCACCCUGCCCCUCACGUUCGGAGCCCCCGAGGGAGGGUCUGCCGGGCAGCUCAGCCCAGCACUCUGUAAGGAAAUCUUCAGUGCCACUGCCCAGGAUGUCUUCCCGGGGAUUGGGCCUGAAUGUCUUGACCAUGCCGUGCUGGAGGGAGAGACCCACCGACCCUGUGGGGCUGGUCCCUACAUCUGGCGCUCUGACGUGGGGCUCUCCCUCGCUGUGUGAAGUUGCACCCUGAGUGCGGGAUCAGCGGAGGAGUUCAACGAGAGAUUCCUGAGGAUUGCAGUCUAUAAACUUGGUGGAAAAGAACUACAGCCUGUGUGGGUCCCCUCCCGACAAUUAAAAUUGCACCAUAACUCCAAAGAUGAAACGCUCCCAGAAAGAAAAGGCAAAGACCCAUCGGAAACAAAAGAGCAACUUUCACCGCCUGAUACAUACACUUCAUGACAUCCACAUUGAGACAAAAUCUCGCCGUGUGACCUACAACACCUCUCGUUCAACCCCACCUACUUGGGGUCGAAUACAGAUUUUAUCUCAUCAAACAGAAAAAUUCUUAACAGAAAAAGGAAUCCCAAAAAUGACUGGUAAUAUAAUUCUGGCUGCCUUUAUGGUAGUCAGUGCAGCGGUAAGUAUACCACCGGUCGGGGCAACUCAAAAUUAUACUUAUUGGGCAUAUGUUCCUUUUCCCCUUCUAAUUCGGUCUGUCUCCUGGAGGGACUCUCCAGUAGAAGUUUACACUAAUAAUAGUGCAUUCAUGCCGAUCCCUAAUGAUGAUCGGUUUCCAGCUCAACCGGAAGAAGAAGGUAUGCACUUUAAUCUGUCAAUUGGCUAUAAAUAUCCACCAUUAUGUAUUGGGAAGUCGCCUGGUUGUUUAGCUUAUUCUUAACAGAAUUGGAUGUGGACUGUACCGUCCUUUACAAAUGAUUCUUAUCAAGUAUAUAAUGUGUUCAGUACUAACUCUUUUCAACUUCUCACUGUCAAACGUACCCCACAUGAGGCAUGGAGAGUUCCUCUCACUACCAAAACUAAUAAAACAAAAGGACUGCCGGACUGUCCAAAGAAACCUACAAAUGGGCCUUUUAUAGUGACUUCAAUUUUAUGGGAUAAUUGUAAUGCUCCCAAGGCUGUUGUACUCCAAACUCUAGCCAUGGGUAUUGUUAUUGAUUGGGCUCCAAAAGGACAUUAUUGGCAAGAUUGCUCCAGCAAAAAUACCUUAUGCUCGGAGUUUAUUUAUUCCUUAGAUUAUAUAGAGCAUGGGUGGCAGUCUUACACGAUGAGACAACGGGUGUCUCCUUACCCAUUUAAAUGGAUGGACACAGGUAUUGCUCCUCCUAGACCAAAAAUUAUUCAUCCCUUUUUUACCCCAGAACAUCCUGAACUAUGGAAAUUAGCUGCAGCUUUGUCGGGAAUAAAGAUAUGGAACACUACCUAUCAGCUCCUUCGUACUAAAACCAAAACACCCACAUUCAACAUCACCCUUAUUUCUGAAUGGGUGAUACCCAUUAGGAGCUGUGUCAAACCCCCUUACAUGCUGUUGGUUGGAAAUAUAAUUAUGAUGCCUGAUGCACAAACUAUAGAAUGUCAUAACUGUAAGCUGUUCACUUGCAUUGAUGCAACUUUUAAUCCCACUACAAGUAUUCUCUUGGUAAGGGCUAGGGAGGGGGUAUGGAUACCAGUUUCUCUACAUCGUCCAUGGGAGUCUUCCCCCUCUAUUCACAUAGUCAAUGAAGUUCUUAAAGACAUCCUCAAAAGAACAAAGAGAUUUAUUUUUACUCUUAUUGCAGUCCUUGCAGGACUACUUGCGGUUACUGCAACAGCAGCAACUGCUGGAGUUGCCAUCCGCAGUUCUGUUCAAACUGCUCACUAUGUUGAAGCAUGCCAGAAAAAUUCCUCCAGACUUUGGAAUUCUCAGGCGCAAAUUGAUCAAAAAUUAGCUAAUCAGAUUAAUGAUCUCCGCCAAAGUGUAACCUGGCUGGGAGAUAGAGUUAUGAACUUGCAACACCGUAUGCAAUUACAGUGUGAUUGGAAUACUUCUGAUUAUUGCAUAACGCCUUAUGCUUAUAAUCAAGAUCAACAUAGCUGGGAAAAUGUCUCAAGACAUUUAAAAGCCUGGGAUGAUAACUUAACCUUGGAUAUUUCACAACUUAAAGAGCAAAUCUUUGAGGCUUCACAAGCCCAUUUAUCCACAGUUCCUGGCUCACACAUUUUUGAAGGCAUAACUAAACAAUUACCUGAUUUUAAUCCCUUCAAAUGGCUCAAACCCGUCAGAGGAUCAUUGUUGUUACUGGCAUUAUUAAUAUUGGUAUGCUUAUGUUGUCUCCUUUUAGUCUGCAGAUGCCUCUAAGGAGUCCGAAACCAAGUCCGAAGUCAACAACAAGCAAUGAUGGCGAUGGCGAUUCUAGUUAAUAAAAAGGGGGGAGAUGUGGGCGGCAAGCCACCCAGGCACCGAGGCAAGAGACAGAGGACACGAGCUGUUCCAGUAUAAUAAAAUAUAAAACAAGAAUAGUUAUACCAGAUAUAGAUCUUAGAUAUGAUUAUAUACGAAUAUCAUUAAUCAUGAGUUUGUAGCAAUUACUUUUUAUUCCAAUAUUAUGAUAAUCCUCGCUCUAUAAUCAUAGCCUAGGAAAAACCAGGCCAUACAGAGAUAGGAGCUGAGGGGACAUAGUGAAGUGUGACCAGAAGACAAGAGUGCGAGCCUUCUGUUAUGCCCGGACAGGGCCACCAGAGGGCUCCUUGGUCUAGCGGUGACGCCAGCGUCUGGGAAGACACCCGUUACCAGGCGGAUCGUGGCCCAGCCGUAGCAAAAGGUGUCAAGGAACACCUUUUGCAAAAGGUGUCAACACCCGCUACUUAGCAGACUGGGAAAGGGGGGCGGUCUCCCUUUCCCCGGGGGAGUUUAGAGAAGACUCUGUUCCUCCACCUCUUGUGGAGGGCCUGACAUCAGUCAGGCUUGCCCGUAGUUAUCCGGAGGCCUAACUGUCUCCCUGUGAUGCUGUGCUUCAGUGGUCACGCUCCUAGUCUGCCUUCAUUUUCCAUCCUGUACACCUGGCUCUGCCUUCUAGAUAGCAGUAGUAAAUUAGUGAAAAUACUAAUAGUCCCUGAUAUGCAGAAAUAAUGGCAUAAGCUGUCUUUCUCUCUGUCUCCUCUCCCUCUCUGCCUCGGCUGCCAGGCAGGGAAGGGCCCCCUGUCCAGUGGACACAUGACCCAUGUGACCUUACCUAUCAUUGGAGGUGACUCACAUUCUUUACCCUGCCCCUUCUGCCUUGUAUCCAAUAACAGCGCAGUCAGACAUUCAGGGCCACUACCGGUCUCCGCACAUUGGUGGUAGUGGUCCCCCGGGC
ensembl:lncRNA ERVK13-1 endogenous retrovirus group K13 member 1